rnacentral:lncRNA from 1 species
GCAGAGGGCAGAUUAAACUGGAUAGAAAUUGGCAAUGGAGUAAAAGGUAGACCAGAAAGCCAAACUAAAUAAAUUCUGUAAGAAAGCACUCUGAUUAUUUGGAUUGGCUGUCUAGCCCUCUCUGCUUUUUUCUUAACGUGGUAGAGGCUAGAUGCCUUGAGGAGAUGCUUGAUUCCUAGCAAUCCCAAACCUUUCAUUUAGAUCUACAUUGUUCUCAGCCCAGUACCUCAGAUUGCAGUGAGUUAAUCCUGCUCUCACUUCAUGGCUAUCGCAUGGGCUUUGGGGUAAGAAAAACUCAAAAUCAAACCUCAGAUUUACUAUCACUAUGUGACUUUGAACAAUUUGGUUAAACUCUUUGAAUGUGUGUGUGUGUGUGAUUUAAUGUAUGUAUAUCGCUUAGUUUCCUAAAUGACACAUAGUAUCCAAUAAAUGAAAUGUACUAAGACUAUGAGCUUUCUUUGGGGAUGUAAGUUAAAAAUAAAAUGACAUAAAGUUAAUAAAAAGAUAAAAGAAUUUCUGUUUUGCUUUAAAGUUUCUUGCUGAGUGUUUAUUUUGAUACGUUGAAUGAAAGCAGAUAAGGCAUUAAUUCUAAUUUAAAAAUGAAGCUAGAAGCUAAAAAAAAAAAAAGAAGGAAAACCUCACAAUUUCCUAAUAAAUUAGAAAUCUCAAGAGAAAUGAAUCAAUGACAACAUGGUCCUAUAUCAUGCACAGAACUCUUUUUAUUAUUUCUGGUUAUAAUUUCUCUAAUUUGUACAAAUGGCCUUCAUUUCCUGAGGUUUGAGUUAUCCAGGAGACUGAUGACAAAAGAUCUGCAAUCUUGUAAUUCAAGAUAAAUACUCAUUACAAAUAUAGAAGAGUGACAUCAGUCCCUUGAAUUUAGAGAUCACAAUUACAAGCAUUCAAAAAAUAUGUAAAUUUACUAAAGGCAUACGCAGUAUAAAAUUCAAUGUGAUAAGAGAGUACGUUCUCUUAAGGUACAAAAUUUUGUAUUAGCAGUUGCUUAGUAUAAAAUUUCUAAACUCUCUUGAAAUUCAGAUAUCAAGUUUAACAUUUGUAUCAGGUAUUAUUAUGAAAAUUCUUCCACUACUUAAAAGCUUACUUAUCUUUUCAGCUUUACCUAUUCAACAACUUGUGGAAUUUCUUUGAAAAAUAAAGUUAAGUAUAAUUAAAUUGUUAACAUUAUUAUUAUAUUUUUCCUUUUAUUUAAAAAAUAAUAGUAUUUUGAUAAAUGGUAUAUUUUAUAGACAUGUAUACUAUCUCUGUAUUUCCAACUCUCUCACUGACUCAUAGUAACCCAGUAAGUCAGUAAAUAUUCCUAAUUUGGCUCACAGGGGUUUAUUCAAGGUUCUAAGAGAAAUCUGUUUUUAGUGUUAAUAUAAUUGUAAAACUUGAGGCUAUUACUACAUAGUAAUACAUUUUUUUUCAGUAUCAUUCAAAAGCCUAUUGUUUUCAAAGAGAGUUAGAAAAUAGGAAGUUCAACUUUACAAUUACAAUUAAAUCUAGUAAAAUGGGUCUUAUACACAGCUUGAAAAAGUAAAUGCAGGAUAGGACCAACUUUCUGCAGGGCAAUUUAAAACCCUCCACUUAUCCCCUUAAAUUUUCAUGUAUUUUAUAAAUUAAUUUCACUUCUAUAAAUGUAACUAAUAGGGGAAAAUCAGAGAUGUAUGAAGAUAUUUACAAAAAAGAUAGUAAAUAUAACAAUAUCUUACCAUAACAAACUGGAACACCUAAAAUAUCUAGUAGAAUGGAAUUAAGUAAUUCUAAGCUCUAAUAUAAUACAAUGUAGCAUUUAAUUAUUUUUAAAUUAAUAUGUAGAGACAUGGAAAUAUGCUUAUAACAUAAAA